CGAAGACAAAGAAACAAUUUUUCUAACGGCCAUUUGUUUUUGCACUUUUCAGGACAGAAAAUGAAAUGUGGAUAAAAAUGAAACUUCCAAUGACCGCAAACCUGAAAAAUAAUGCUCUCUUGAAGAGUAAAUCUACCCUAGAAGCUGAAAUGUUGCAUUUAAAAACAGUUAUGAAAUCCAAGCCGUUGGGUCCUAAAUUGCUCCAACACUGGCUGAUCCUUUGGACCCCGGGGAAGACGAUGCAACAUUCGAGGCAGCGGUGACCUUGCCGGAAGUGAGAAUGGCCUGCAAAGUGAAAUCCGGUCCUUGUUAAGUGGAUAUGCAAAGUGAAGUCAGUUCAGCGACAAUUGCUCAGAAUUGACGACAAAUUCUUAAAAGUUUGAUUGGGAAAGUGAUACAGAAAUGUACAAAAUUGACAAAAAAAUGUCAUCGAAACUUUUCGGGUACAGGAUAAUCAGGCAACGUCAUGACAGCUAGACACUGGUGCCAAAACCUUCGAGCUCGUCAGGAGAUCCAAAAGAAGCGGAACUGCACCGGAGUGAUCGCAAGAACGACCAGAAGUACCUAGACCAGCUGAUAGAAAAGGCCAACUCGUUUCGGAACACUUAUGGCCUGGCCCGCAGAUCAGUUUUGAAUUGAACAUGAGUGUUGCGAAAAAUUUAUCUUUUUAAGAAGUAUACUUAGAUUUUAUAAUAGAUAUAGGUAUGAUGAAGCUAUGUAAUUUAGAAAGACGUAUUACAUUUACAUGUACAGGAAAAGGUAAA